GCCAUGAUGGAGUCGUGGCACACGGCUCAGUAACACGUGGCUAACCCACCCUCGGGACGGAGACAACCCCGGGAAACUGGGGCUAAUCCCCGAUAGGCGAAGACCCCUGGAAUGGGUCCUCACCCAAAAGGCGUUAAGAUCAUGCUUCUUAACAUCGCCCGAGGACGGGGCCGCGGCCGAUCAGGUAGUUGGUGAGGCAAUGGCUCACCAAGCCUAUAACCGGUACGGGCCGUGGGAGCGGAAGCCCGGAGAUGGGCACUGAGACAAGGGCCCAGGCCCUACGGGGCGCAGCCGUUGCGAAAACUCCGCAAUGCACGAAAGUGUGACGGGGCUACCCCGAGUGCCGUCCGCUGAGGAUGGCUUUUCUCUGCUGUAAGGAGGCGGAGGAAUAAGGAGAGGGCAAGCCUGGUGUCAGCCGCCGCGGUAAUACCAGCUCUCCGAGUGGUAGGGAUGAUUAUUGGGCUUAAAGCGUCCGUAGCCGGCCUUUCAAGUCUCUCGUCAAAUCCAGCGAUUCAAUCGUUGGACUGCGGGAGAUACUGUUGGGCUAGGGGGCGGGAGAAGCCGACGGUAUUCUCAGGGUAGGGGUAAAAUCCUAUAAUCCUGGGAGGACCACCAGUGGCGUAGGCGGUCGGCUAGCACGCGCUCGACGGUGAGGGACGAAAGCUGGGGGGAGCGAACCGGAUUAGAUACCCGGGUAGUCCCAGCUGUAAACGAUGCGGGCUAGGUGUUGGAGCGGCUACGAGCCGCUUCAGUGCCGCAGGGAAGCCAUUAAGCCCGCCGCCUGGGGAGUACGGCCGCAAGGCUGAAACUUAAAGGAAUUGGCGGGGGAGCACCACAAGGGUGAAGCUUGCGGUUUAAUUGGAUUCAACGCCC
rnacentral:rRNA from 1 species